UGCCAGCCGCCGCGGUAAUACGGGGGGGGCAAGCGUUGUUCGGAAUUACUGGGCGUAAAGGGCUCGUAGGUGGCCACCUAAGUCCGACGUGAAAUCCCUCGGCUCAACCGGGGAACUGCGUCGGAUACUGGGUGGCUUGAAUCCGGGAGAGGGACGUGGAAUUCAGGGUGUAGCGGUGAAAUGCUUAGAUAUCCUGAGGAACACCAGUGGCGAAAGCGACUUUCUGGCACGAAACUGACGCUGAGGCUCGAAAGCAUGGGAAGCGAACGGGAUUAGAUA
rnacentral:rRNA from 1 species